GGGCCCGCACAAGCGGUGGAGCAUGUGGUUUAAUUCGAUGCAACGCGAAGAACCUUACCAAGGCUUGACAUCCUGGUCGCGGUUUGAGGAGACUCUUACCUUCAGUUCGGCUGGACCAGUGACAGGUGCUGCAUGGCUGUCGUCAGCUCGUGUCGUGAGAUGUUGGGUUAAGUCCCGCAACGGGCGCAACCCUCGUCCUUAGUUGCUACCAUUUAGUUGGGCACUUUAAGGAAACUGCCGGUGAUAAGCCGGAGGAAGGUGGGGAUGACGUCAAGUCCUCAUGGCCCUUACAGGCUGGGCUACACACGUGCUACAAUGGCGAUGACAGUGGGCAGCGACCCCGCAAGGGUGAGCUAA
rnacentral:rRNA from 1 species